AGAGCACUCCGUACGGGAGGCAGCAGGUGGGGAAUAUUGCAACAAUGGGGCGCGAAGCCUGAUGCAGCCAUGCCGCGUGUAUAGAAGAAGGCCGUUCGGGUUGUAAAGUACUUUCAGCAGUGAGGAAGGUGGGUAUUGUUAAUAGCAUACUCAUUUGACGUUAGCUGCAGAAGAAGCACCGGCUAACUCCGUGCCAGCAGCCGCGGUAAUACGGAGGGUGCGAGCGUUAAUCGGAAUUACUGGGCGUAAAGCGCAUGCAGGUGGUUUGUUAAGUCAGAUGUGAAAGCCCGGGGCUCAACCUCGGAAUUGCAUUUGAAACUGGCAAACUAGAGUACUGUAGAGGGGGUAGAAUUUCAGGUGUAGCGGUGAAAUGCGUAGAGAUCUGAAGGAAUACCGGUGGCGAAGGCGGCCCCCUGGACAGAUACUGACACUCAGAUGCGAAAGCGUGGGGAGCAAACAGGAUUAGAUACCCUGGUAG
rnacentral:rRNA from 1 species